UCCUCGUUACCGAGGCAGUAUCACUAGAAAAAUAACUAGCAAUGAGGGUUGCGCUCGUUGAAGGACUUAACCUAACAUCUCACGACACGAGCUGACGACGGCCAUGCAUCACCUGUCACCAGUCCAACUAAAUGACUGCCUAGUUUCCUAGGCAUACGACUGGGAUGUCAAGGGCUGGUAAGGUUCUGCGCGUUGCUUCGAAUUAAACCACAUGCUCCACCGCUUGUGCAGGCCCCCGUCAAUUCCUUUGAGUUUCAGUCUUGCGACCGUACUCCCCAGGCGGCGAACUUAACGCGUUAGCUUCGAUACUGCGUGCCAAAUUGCACCCAACAUCCAGUUCGCAUCGUUUAGGGCGUGGACUAC
rnacentral:misc_RNA from 1 species